GCCUUCGUGGUGUAGUGGUCAGCACGCUCGACGCCUAACCGGGAAGUCCGUUGUUCAAUUCCCGUCGAAGGCG
rfam:Stegodyphus mimosarum contig119374, whole genome shotgun sequence.